AUUGAACGCUGGCGGCAUGCCUUACACAUGCAAGUCGAACGGCAACGCGGGGCAACCUGGCGACGAGUGGCGAACGGGUGAGUAAUGCAUCGGAACGUGCCCAGUAGUGGGGGAUAGCCCGGCGAAAGCCGGAUUAAUACCGCACACGACCUACGGGUGAAAGCGGGGGACCGUAAGGCCUCGCGCUAUUGGAGCGGCCGAUGUCAGAUUAGGUUGUUGGUGGGGUAAAAGCCUACCAAGCCGACGAUCUGUAGCUGGUCUGAGAGGACGACCAGCCACACUGGGACUGAGACACGGCCCAGACUCCUACGGGAGGCAGCAGUGGGGAAUUUUGGACAAUGGGGCAACCCUGAUCCAGCCAUGCCGCGUGCGGGAAGAAGGCCUUCGGGUUGUAAACCGCUUUUGUCAGGGAAGAAACGCUCUGGGCUAAUACCCCGGGGUAAUGACGGUACCUGAAGAAUAAGCACCGGCUAACUACGUGCCAGCAGCCGCCGUAAGAC
rnacentral:rRNA from 1 species